CCCUAGCCCCGAUUGAAGCUUUGUUUGAGCUCCUUUUUUUUCUUUUAAAAAAAAGAGCGAGUGCGGAAAGCGGGAAAUAGC
rnacentral:sRNA from 1 species